ACACACCUCCCUGCAGCCUGGCACUGGAAACUGCUGAGCCAUGCAGGGCAGCCUGGUGGCGGCUAGGACACUUCUGCAGAGGACCUGGAGUUGGGCUGCUCCCGGGGCUCCCAUCUCUUGCUGGGUCUGUUUUCAGGUGCACCCUCCUCCUCCAGGAGGCAGGGGCAAGACCAGCUUCAGCCCUUCUUGCUCUCCAUGCUUUUCCUCAGCCCCCAGACUUAGAGAAGAUCACACGCAAGAGCUUGGAAGUCCUGGGAGGAAGUAUGAUCCCGAAUCCUGGCACACUUGAUCAUGCGUGACAGGGACUUAAGAAAGCCCCUAAUUAUAGCCGUGUGGGGUUUGUCUCCCUUCUGAAGCUUGGCGCCCGUGUGCUCAAGGCAAGGGCGUGACCAAGGUAAGAGACCCCUUCUCUCCCUUAGGCAGAAGUCCUAGCAGAGUAUGCCCACGCUGGUUAGUGCUGCUGCAAAGAUGAGCCGAAGACCAUGAGAGACCUCCAGGUGGUCCUUCUGGGGAGAAGAAAUGGGUUUUGGCCCCAAAUCCUUCUGCUGCAUUUUUCCCCUAUCCCUGGGAAGCCAUGAGACCUCAAACCUGUGUUCCCAAGGAGGCGAGCUGCUGUUCCCAGGUGAUGAUAUGAUGUGCUUGGGGAAAGUAAGUGGCUGCCAGACAUGGCUGAGAGCUGUUGUCACUGCCGUCAAGUGCAUGUCUCCAAGCCAUAUCACACGGCGUCCCUCGAUGUGAGGCCACAUGGCAAGUGGGCCGUGGAUCUCCCUCUGCCCUUUGCAAGCACGUAAGACAGCAGAUUUUGCAGAUACCUUGUGGCGCAGGGGAAUUUCCUUUGGCCAGGUCUGAAGAAAUAAAGCAGCAGGCACCGAGAACAAAGCCAAGGCUUUCAAAAGACAAGGAGCCAAAAAACUUACUCAAAAUAAAAGUAGUUUUAAAAUGUCUCUGCCAUUGGUAGUCUCAUUUUCUUUUUAAUGUAGGAAAUAGUCAAGUAUUAAAAUGACCAAAAUGAAACAAGUGCCUCAUGGACUGAGAAGGAAGGAGGA
rnacentral:lncRNA from 1 species